CGCGGUAAUUCCAGCUCCAAUAGCUUAUAUUAAAGUUGUUGCGGUUAAAACGCUCGUAGUUGGAUCUGCUGUAAUCGGGAGCGGUGUCCCCGGAAUGUUAUCGGGUGACUGACUGCAUCUUGAGCUUCGAUGUCGGUUGAUUCGUUGGAUGCUCUUAAAAAAGUGACCAAUGUGUGCUGAAAAUUUACUUUGAACAAAAUAGAGUGCUUAAAGCAAGUGAUGUGCUUGAAUAUUAUUGCAUGGAAUAAUGGAGAAGGACCUCGGUUCUAUUUUUUGGUUUUCGGAUCUGAGGUAAUGAUUAAAAGGAACAGUCGGGGACAUUCGUAUUGCUGCGUUAGAGGUGAAAUUCUUGGAUCGCAGUAAGACGAACAACUGCGAAAGCAUUUGUCAAGGAUGUUUUCAUUAAUCAAGAACGAAAGUUAGAGGUUCGAAGGCGAUCAGAUACCGCCCUAGUUCUAACUGUAAACGAUGCCAACUAGCGAUUCGUUGAUGUUAUUGGAUUACGAUUGGACGAGAAUCUUCCGGGAAACCAAAGUUAUUCGGUUCCUGGGGAAGUAUAGUUGCAAAGCUGAAACUUAAAGGAAUUGACGGAGGGGCACCACCAGGAGUGGAGCCUGCGGCUUAAUUUGAC
rnacentral:rRNA from 1 species